ACGCAAGGGUAUCUGGGAGAAGUGUCCUUGAGCCUGCGGCUUGGUGUCCAUAAUCCAGGAGGGUUCUGGGAGCUGUAGUCUCCAAAAGGAACAACAAGAGCAGCAUUCUGUAGAAUCUGAUCUCCAUGGAGAAAAGUGAAUUGGAGGAGGCAGGGAGGAGACAGGGAGGACGCGGGGAUAGGGUCGGCAGGUCAGUGCCCAUGGCUGCUCAGACGGUUACAGCAGGAGGAAAUAAACUUCCCGGGAAGAAGAAAAGGACUCUGACACCUACCCAGACAGACUGGCCCAGGUGGCUGCCACCUCAGGACUUCACCGCACCCAAGGGAACCUCGUCCACAGCCUUCCCUGUCCUGCCUGCAUCACUUCCUUCCUCCAGAAGCUUCGCUUAGUUUUAUGGAGCCUGCACCGCUUUGAGCUUUAUAUUUGUGUAUGUGUGUGCAUAUGUUGUCAUGUGCAUAUAUGUGUGUAUGUGUAUAUGUGUGUAUGUAUAGUGUAUGUGUGUGAUGAGUAUAUGUGUAUGUAUGUAUGCAUGUACAUAUAUGUGUGUGGUGUGUAAAUAUAUAUUGUGGUAUGUAUAUAUGUAUGUGUAUAUGGGCAUGCAUAUUGUGUGGUGUAUAUAUGUGUGUAUGUUUGUGCAUACAUAUAUAUGUGUGUAUAUGUGUGUGUAUGUAUAUGUAUGUAUGUGUGCAUAUACAUGUGUGGUGUGUGUAUGUUGUGUGGUAUGUGUGUAUAUAUAUGUAUGCAUGUGAUGUGUAUUUUGUGUAUGUGUGUAUAUGUGUGUCUGUGUGUGUUCAUGUGUGUAUGUGUAUGUAUCUGUGUGUAUGCAUGUAUAUGUGUCUAUGUGUGUGUAUUUGUGUCUGUCUAUGUAUGUGUAUGUGUGUACGUGUGUGUACAUGUGUGUCUGUAUGUAUCUAUGUGUGUGUGCGUGUGUAUAUGUGUGUACUCUGCAAAACUUAGAAACCUAAUACAAUUUGUUAUUUCCCACAAGCUAGUCUCCUGUCGUUUUAUUUUUGUGGCUUGGCUGAGGAAUUGGCAGAAGGAAGAAACACCCGACACCCAGGAGCUGGCUCUAGAGUAAAUUACAACUCAUGGACGUUUCCAGAACAAAGCACAAGCAAAUGAAAGGUUCUGAGUCUACCUUCAGUGGGAAAUGGCCGUGUCUAACUGCUGAGCAGAUAAGCUUGCACGCAGUCCCUCUAUUCAUUCACGCCGAUCCUGCGGGACUUAGGAAGGAGCACUGCCCUUUGCUGCCACGCCGCCUGUUAGCCUCCUAACGCCUCCUGCUCACCUUCCCUCGAUACAAAGGGGACUGAUUUACUAGUUCUAACCAGUCAUCGCUCUGUCA